ensembl:misc_RNA 7SK 7SK RNA
GCGUGUGAGGGCGAUCUGGCUGUGACAUCUAUCACCCCAUUAAUCACCAGGGUUGACUCAGCUGAUCUGGCUGGCUAGACCAGUGUCCCCUUCCUGCAUCACCCCUUCACGUGUGUCCCUCCUCAAGCUGCAAGAUCAAGCUCGUCGGAAAGGGUAUUGGAAUAGCAGCACUCCUUCGCUAGAACCUUCAAACAAGCUGGAUUGGGUAAGGUGAGGGUGAGAACUAACUGGGAGACUUGCUGAAGACAGGGUCACAGGAUCCCACCAUGGGCAGUGU